rnacentral:lncRNA from 1 species
AGGGAGAGAGGACAUCAGAAGCUACACAUUUGGGACCUUCUCAGGCUUCACCCUAUGCACCUCUUUUUGCUGAUCCUGAUUUGUAUUAUUUGUGCUAUAAUAACACUGUAAUUAUAUGUAUAGGACUUUCCUGAAUUCUCUGUCACUGUCAGUCUAUUAAAUGAUUGAGCAUGAAGAGAGAGUAGGAACCCCUGAGUAUUUAGCUUGUUGGUCAGAAGUGCUGGUGGCCUUGGAACUCAUAAGCUUGUGGCUAGUUUCUGAGGUGAGUGAGAGGUCUUGUGAAGGACUGUGCCCUCAGCCUGUGAAGUCUGCCUAACUCUGGCUAGUCCAUCGCAAGUCACUGCACACGUAUUAAUUCAAUCAGCUCUAUGGUCUAACCCAGGCACAACAGGAAUACAACCUUUUACUACAGAUGUGGGAUUGUUCAUGUCAUCUACUAAUGCAAGAUGGAUCUGAGAACGCUGUCUGGGCUUGGUACCAAGAGCUGGUAUUUCACAGCAGCGACCGCCUCACAGACGAGCUGUGGGAAGCAGGAGGGAGACUCUCUCUUAGGGUGCCACUACUAUGGAGACACAGCUGGGCUGAACAAGAUUUGCUUCAAACGACAACAAGAGAGACAGAAAGUAUCUGGUUCAACCGCUGCCCGAGCAGGCAGGCACCAGAAGAGCUAGCAGCCAAUCCGGCCAUGCUCGAAGCCAGCUCUGCAGCUCAGCCAAUCAGUGACAUCAUUGGUGAGAAACUCAUUUACAUCAUGCAGUAAUGAACUUUGUUUAACAUAGACUUCCCCCUUUCCUGUCACCCCCCCCCCUUUCCAUAUUAGGUCCUUCCAUUAAUUAUUCUGCUGGCAUAAUUUAAACCGCUAUGCAAAAAUGUG